AUAAAUGCUUUAUUGAUUUGUAGUACAGAGGAUUCUCCUACACAAGAGCAAAAUCUACUUAUAUUCAGAUCAAUUCUGCACUUAUUAGUCAACAGCUUUGGGAAUGGAAGUAGGCCAAGUAAUUAUUAGUGCUAUUAAAAAGCCCAAAAAAAGAGGUACCAGGAGUAAGAAGAAAAGAUUAACAUUUGAAGAUGAAAUAAAUGUCACAAAAUCUGAAGAGGACGUAACAUCAAAAAGUUCAGAACAAAUAAUUACAGCAAAAAGCACCAACUUUCUAGCAUUUGGCUUUAUCCUCAUUAAAAGCUUCUCUCAGAAGGGUUCAGAUAUAGUUGGAGCAACCUAUAACAGCUGGAGUAAAAGACUGGUUUUGGCAGAUGGCAAAGGAUUUUUCAGCUUGGAUUUGCGUUCUUCUAAUUGUAAUGUUAGAAGAGAGCUAACUUUUGAAAAGUAUCAGUUCAGCAUGGCAAGAAUCAUCAUUUAUGCCGAAAAAUUCAAUGUGUAUUUUGUGCUACAAAAAGAUUAUGUUAUAAAGGUUCAUAACAAAGACUAUACUGAGAUUUGUUCGGUAGAAAAUGCAGGUUCAGGACGGUUAACAUUUAUAUCAUUCAACCCCAUGAGAGAUGAACUUAUCAGUGGAGGAAUCAAUGGAGUAAAGACUUGGAAGUUUAAAGAAAAGAAGAUUCCAACUCAUGCUAAUCCUGUUCCAAUGUACAAUUACAGCCUUUUCCCCAGUACAGAAUAUCCAUACAUGGGGAAAAAGUGGUGUACAAAUAUGGAUUUUGAUGUCAUUAUGCAAAGAUACUACUGCUUUUCUGAAGGUCACUUCUUCUGCUACGACAUCAAUGGGAAAUUGCUACUUGAGAUACUAAAUGCCCACCAGACUGCUAUUCUCUCAUGUAUCUACUCAUCUGAUGUUAAAAUUUUACUUACUUCCUCUAGAGGCAGUGAAAUAAAAUCUUGGAAUGAUCAAGGCUGCUUGUUGCAUAUAUUUCAAGGACAUUCUAAAACUGUCACAAAGCUUCUACUGCAUCCAAAUACAGCUUCAUUAUUUAUCUCUGGGUCACUAGAUGGAUCAAUCAAACUCUGGUCAUUUGAUACAAUGGACAUUUUUUAUAGCUUAUCACCAUUCCAAGAAGGAAUACUAUGGAUUGGUACAGUGGAAGAUAAAUAUCUAUACUGUUGUUCUGCCCGCAGUCUUCAUAUAUUCAAUUUGAACACCUUUACCAGCUUUUGGACUCGUGUCAAUAGUCCAAUAAGUGAUAUGUAUGUCUGUGGUGCUGAUGGGAAGUCGAACAGGGUGAUUGCCAUGGGUACUGACAACAGAACUGAUCCUGCAUGUCGAACAGCAGUGUGGACCAUUGGAGAGCUACAGCAACACCUGUAUAGAAAACACCCCUUAGCCUCCUGUGUUCAGAAGAAUGAAUAUUUUCAGCAUACUCGAAGAAGAAAUUUUAGGACACCAGCAAAAUGCGAAUGCCUCUGCAGCUUGUCUUCACCAUUGUGCUACUUGACAGAUGAAGGAAUGGUGUAUGCAGAUAGUCAGGAAUUUCUGGUUCUUGGUAUGCAGGAUGGAAGAGUAUUGUUUCUUCAUACAUCAAUACAGAAUUUGGUAUAUUAUGAGCUGAUAGCCUACAGAGAUCCAGUUAUCCACUUAAAACAUGAUGUGGUUCACCAGGAACUCAUAAUAAUGUAUCAAAGAUCAAAAAGCAAACUGAUACACUUCAGAAGCUUGCCCGCUCUGGAGUUGGUCUUCCAAGCUGAAGUAUCAAAUGACACUCUGGUCUUUACCAGGCUGAACAGAUCACUAUUUGUUGGCCUGGCAUCUGGAACUGUGGAUAUUUUAAACAUUCUAAAUGCAGAUGAAGAAGCAGCGUUUUCUGAAAAAAAGUUGAAUAAUAGUGGGCAAAGUGAAAGAAUAUUUGCUUCAUCUUGCUCAGAAGACUGCCACAAUGGCCCUGUAGUAGCAGUUGAUUCUUGCAAGGAUCUUUCUGUCUUUUUAAGUUGUGGUUCAGAUUCCAUGGUAAAACUAUGGGAUAUGCAGAAGAAUCUAUUGGCUGAGAUCACCCUUGACAACACUUUAACCACAGCCUGUUUCCUGAAUAGUUGUGGUGACAUUUUACUGGCUUUCAAAAGUGAUCUGUAUUUCUUGUCUCACAGUAAGGCAUUGGGUAUAAUGAAACCCAUUGAUACUGCUACUAUUUCAGCAGCAGAAUCUUACAUUUUUGAAAGUCAGCCAACAGAGGAUGAAGAAAAAUAUGAUGUGCCCAAAUCAAUUGAGUUGGCAUCAUAUCUGGAACCUUACAAGGGAUAUGCUUUCACUGAUGACUUCACAUCAGAGCUGCAUGUUUUGCCAAAGAAGAAAGAAAAGCAAUCCUGGAGAUUGGCAAUAGCUCCCUCAGAGGUCUACUGUUCACCCUCUACUUCAGAAGCAUCUCUGAAGAUGUUUGAUUUCCUACUUCAUCCUGGAAUUCCCGACUUAGAAAAACAAGAUAAAGCAGAAAUGUCUGAAAGGAUGAUUGUGACAGAAGGCAGGAAAUAUGUUCCCGGACCAAUGUAUGUACCAUCUGCCAAGUGGGAAAUGCCUUUCUUUGGAGUUUCUCCAUGUUCAUCUCAAGUCCCUGAACAAUUUGGGACAAGAACACAAUCCCAGGAACAGAACGCUGAAGCAGAGAGUGAUGUAUCCACUGUGGAGCCAUUACAGGAAACUCAAAUUGAAAAGCAGCAUCCCAUCAGUGAAGAAACAUCUCCAGAAGUACCUGAAGUAAUACCUGAAAGUGUCUGCUCUUUGGACAGACUACCAGCCUUAGAGCCCAUAACAGAUACAGAUUCUAACAUUUGUGGAAAAAUAGAAGAAAAACAUUCAGGUGGAGAAAGGCAGUUCAGGAGUGUCAAGUUUGGCUCAUGGCAGUCUCCUCAUAGGGCAAGAUCCAAACCCUUGGAUGUGGUUGAAGUUCAGGAAACAAAGACGAAACAUGUGCCCAAAGAGCAUGUGCACAAGAAGCUCUUCAAAACAGAAAAACUGGUUCUCAAAAAGAUACGGACACCAAAACAUGCAAAACACUUUUCAGUGUCAAAGAGUGCUGUGAGAUCAAGAGAUACCAUGUACAUCCCAUAUUCCCGAGCAAGUCAUUCAGUUGUUUCUGUUGGAGGAAAACUAUUCCCUGGCCUUGAAACCAAGGCUUCAACAUCAGUUGGAAAAAGGCCCCUUUCAGGAAAAAAGACUGACCAGCAACAAAAUGAAGAUUAUGAAUCCCCUUAUGAAAAAGAUAUCAUAAGGGUGGUGGCCUGGAGGAGGAAACAAAAUGAAAGGAUUCGCCAAGCAGAGGAACGGCGCCUAUUGCUAGAACUUAGAAAAAGGCCGUGUUCCCGAAACCACUGUUUUACACCUACAAACUCUCAGCAAUAUCAAAAUCUGCAAUCUUCUGAAAACCUUUCUGAAACUUUGUUCACUUUGAUGAAGCCUUGGAUGAAACAACAUCACAGUCGUCCAUACACUGUGAUGGAAGAAACAAUUGUUAAUCUCCCUAGAGACUUCCCUUACAGGUUGGCUUGGGGAAUACCAACUACUGAAGACUUGGACAUAAAACUGUAUCACCCUAAAAUUAAAUUAAGUAAGGAAUUGAAACCUGGCAACCUGCCUAUAGAGAAAAAUAUGCAACCAACAAAAUCAAUCCCAGAUAAAGGGAGAUACAUCUUAAUGAAUGACCCAGUUUCAGCACCUUCUACUCCUGCGCUGAGUCCCCUGGAAAGCAAGCUACUUAGUGUCCGUUUCCCUAAGCAGAAGGAAAAGAUCCUUUGUUCUCUCAUCUCAAAAGUAUCUACAGGACAGCAAGUUUCUGAUGGUGCAAUUUCUCAUCUGUUCUCACACUUUCCUCCUAAACUUUAG
rnacentral:lncRNA from 1 species